rnacentral:rRNA from 1 species
UGCAUAUCAAUAAGCGGAGGAAAAGAAACUAACUAGGAUUCCCUUAGUAACGGCGAGUGAACCGGGAUGAGCUCAAAUUUGAAAUCUGGCGUCUUUCAGGCGUCCGAGUUGUAAUCUAUAGAGGCGUUUUCCGCGCCGGACCGCGUCCAAGUCUCUUGGAAUAGAGUAUCAAAGAGGGUGACAAUCCCGUACUUGACGCGACAACCGGUGCUCUGUGAUACGUUCUCAAUGAGUCGAGUUGUUUGGGAAUGCAGCUCUAAAUGGGUGGUAAAUUCCAUCUAAGGCUAAAUAUUGGCGAGAGACCGAUAGCGAACAAGUACCGUGAGGGAAAGAUGAAAAGCACUUUGGAAAGAGAGUUAAACAGCACGUGAAAUUGUUAAAAGGGAAACGAUUGAAGUCAGUCGUGUGAGGGGUAUUCAGCCGUCUCUGGCGGUGUAUUUGCCUCUCACGGGUCAACAUCAGUUUGAUCCGGUAGAAAAAGGCGGGAGGAAGGUGGCACCCUCGGGUGUGUUAUAGCCUCCUGUCAUAUGUGCCGGACCAGACUGAGGAACGCAGCUUGCAGCAAUGCCGGGAUUCGUCCACGUACAAGCUUAGGAUGUUGACAUAAUGGCUUUAAACGACCCGUCUUGGAAACACGGACCA